GGAGUAUGGACCGUGUCUCAGUUCCAUUGUGGCCGUUCAUCCUCUCAGACCGGCUACCGAUCGUCGGCUUGGUAGGCUUUUACUCUACCAACUACCUAAUCGGACGCAGGCUCCUCACAAAGCGAUAAAUCUUUAGUACAGAAUCCAUGCGGACUCCGCACAACAUCCGGUAUUAGCGUCCCUUUCGGAACGUUGUCCCCGACUUUGCGGCAGAUUACCUGCGCUUUACUCACCCGUUCGCCACUAAACCCGAAGGUUCCGUUCGACUUGCAUGUGUUAGGCACGCCGCCAGCGUUCAUC
rnacentral:rRNA from 1 species